rnacentral:rRNA from 1 species
GGAAUACAUUGGCAUGGAAUAAUGGAAUAGGACUGAGGUCUCGUGGUUGGUCGCGGACUACAGAAAUGAUUAAUAGGGACAGUUGGGGGCAUUAUAUUUUUAGCUAGAGGUGGAAUUCUCUAAUUUGUUAAAGACUAACUUAUGCGAAAGCAUUUGCCAAGGAUGUUUUUUUUUUUUUAGAACGAAAGGAAGGGGAUCAAAGACGAUCAGAUACCGUCCUAGUCUUAUCCAUAAACUAUGCCCCCUCGGGAUCGGGAGCGUGUGUUAUCCGCUUUCGGCACCGUAUGAGAGAGGGGAGUCUUUGGGUUCUGGGGGGAGUAUGGUCGUAAGGCUGAAACUUAAAGGAAUUGACGGAAGGGCACCACCAGGUGCGGAGCUUGCGGCUCAAUUUGACUCAACACUGGAAAACUUUACCAGGUCCAGACAUAGUA